rnacentral:rRNA from 1 species
AUUGAACGCUGGCGGCAGGCCUAACACAUGCACGUCGAACGAGUGGCGGACGGGUGAGUAAUGUCUGGGAAACUGCCUGAUGGAGGGGGAUAACUACUGGAAACGGUAGCUAAUACCACAUACCAUCAGAUGUGCCCAGAGGGGAUUAGCUAGUUGGUGGGGUAACGGCUCACCAAGGCGACGAUCCCUAGCUGGUCUGAGAGGAUGACCAGCCACACUGGAACUGAGACACGGUCCAGAAUCCGACGGGAGGCAGCAGUGGGGAAUAUUGCACAAUGGGAGCAAGCCUGAUGCAGCGAUUCCGAGUGUAUGAAGAAGGCCUUCGGGUUGUAAAGUACUUUCAGCGGGGAGGCGUUACCCGCAGAAGAAGCACCGGCUAACUCCGUGCCAGCAGCCGCGGUAAUUC